CUUUAAAUGUGAUUCUACCAGAUACCUGAAAUGUUAUUUUAAACCUAAUCAGAUUUUAAUCUGUGUCUCUACAGUGCUUCUGAAACCUAAGCAGAUGUGGAGAUCUGAGUACAGAAUGUGCUGAGAAAAUGGACAGUCUGGGCAGCAACAUCAUUCACUUUCUCAUACCAGAGUGCCCAUUUUGGACACAGAAUGAAAGGAGCAUAUUCAGCCUUUAUGACUCUGGGACCAUUAGCAGUGUUGCUAUUUGAGGGAGGAAGGACAAUAGACAUUCCAGCUUUCUCUUGGAGUGACCAUUCCCAAAGGCAACAGGACAGAAGUGAUUCCAGACUGCUUUUUCUGCUGACGUCAGUUACUGUCUGCUAGGAUGAUUGAUGUUUCUUUGCUUUGAACUAAGCUGAGAUUUCUGGGUCAUUUAUCGUCUCCGAAGAGCAUGAAGCCUGCAAUCAGAGCCACUGAGCUGAAAAAAUGCUGUCUCUCUCUCAGUGAUGCCUUCCAUCGAAGCUGAUGGUGUCCUGUCAGCAGCUUAUCCAGACAGAACCACUGGCGCCAUCUUCAUUAGGGUAAAAGCUAAUAUAAACAAAUAAAGGCGUUAGUGUAGAUAGCAGAGUAAGAGUAUUACUGGAAAAUGUUUUGCGGAGUCAGUACUAUGCCUUUAGUUUUAAAAAUGUAUAAAUGUUAUAUGAAUCUCAAAUCCGCUUUUAUUUACAUAAAAUAUUUAUACAUCAAGCAAGACAAUUUCACAACUUUAAAACGUAUUUUCCUGUUAGAUUAAUCUUUUCAUAUGCUAACCACAUUACAAGUAAACAUUUUCAUAGUCUCCACUACAUGAAUGUGGCUAAAAGCUUCCUUGUUAUUUUAUAGUUACAGCAUUUCAAAUGUAUCCCUUUUUGACAUGGUUAGGCAGCCUGCCAGUUUUACCACUAAAUUAUAGCAGAGAAAACACUCAGUAGAAUUUGAUUAGAUUUCUUCCUUCUCCCCAUGAGUAAGGCAAAGCAAAUUUAUGUUCAAAAUGCAAGCUGGGUUCUAAAGAAUUGAAUAGAGAUCCAUAUUUGUAGUCUUAAAAAUGUAUGCAAGUUUUGUGGUUGAAAAUACAUCUUGUUUAUAGUGCUGCUUUGUAUUAUUGUUGUAUUUUGUUCUGUUUUGUCACUAUCAUCUGUAGAAUGAUUGAAAAGCGUUAGUCUGUAUUGAAGUUGGGGUGUGUACUUCAGAGAAUUAGUGAUGAAGAUGUCUCAAUCUCUUCUAUUAAUAAGCAACUGUAUUAAUAAAUACCUAGUGAGACUGGAUUUAUCUCAACCAGUUGCAAGCAUUUACCUAUGGGAUCUAAUUUAGAAAUGUGUUAUCUAUAGGCUGUUCCUUUAAGGAGAAUGGCUGCAUCUGUCUGACCUCUGAAUAUAUGGUGUCGUAGUCGUAAGAUUGAUUUACCCAAACUAGGGAUCUAUUUGGAGCAUAUUAUGAUGCUUCUCUGGCCAAGAAAGAUGGGUUUCCUUUUUGUAGUGAUCUGGGCAGAGGGGGAAGAAAAUAUUGUGCAUACCUGAUUUUGAGCUGAUACAGAGUUGAAACAUGGGAUAAGACAGCAUCUGAAACUGGGACUUAGGAAGCAUUCCCAAAUAUACAGAUCCUUGUCCAAAGAUCUUCAGUGGUUGAGUUGUCCACAUGUCCAUCUUUUUCCAUGAACUACAAGGAGUCUUGAUGAUCAUCUAGAACUUGUUCUCUCUUGGGUGCUAACUCAAACUCCUAGGUUGGCUGGUUUGUGAAUUAGGGGUGCUAGUGACCAAUCCCCUUGAGAGGCUUCUGAAAGACCAUACACAAUAUCAUUGUGAUUGACAUCUAUUACAUAUUUGAUAGAUAUCUGUAUGAACAAACACCUGUGAAUGAUCAUUAUAAUGACAAGAAAGCAAACUUGUUUAUCUUAUAGCUAUUACUAAGUAGCACUCCUUUGAUGAUGUAUUUAUGUCCUUUAA